UACGUAGGGUGCAAGCGUUAAUCGGAAUUACUGGGCGUAAAGCGUGCGCAGGCGGUUCGCUAAGACAGAUGUGAAAUCCCCGGGCUUAACCUGGGAACUGCAUUUGUGACUGGCGGGCUAGAGUAUGGCAGAGGGGGGUAGAAUUCCACGUGUAGCAGUGAAAUGCGUAGAGAUGUGGAGGAACACCGAUGGCGAAGGCAAUCCCCUGGGCCUGCACUGACGCUCAUGCACGAAAGCGUGGGGAGCAAACAGG
rnacentral:rRNA from 1 species